AUGUGUGCUUGUGUUCACAGUCUUCCUCUGAAGUUCCUCUGCUUGGCUCCUGCGAGCUCCUUCCUUCAGCUGAGUCUGGAGCAGCUGAAGAACAUCUCAUACAGCGUCCAUCAGAACUGCACAGAUGUUCUACCUGAUGUGUCGGCGGCUCUGGCCAGUAACGCAGGGGAUCUGACGGUGAGCGCCAUCGAGGCUCUGGGUCAGUCGUCCACGGGUUUGAGCACGGCUCAGAUCAGCGGCGCUGGAGGGAACUUGCUGCUCAACACGCUCUCCGUGCUCAGUCUCGUUCAGGGCUGGAACCUCGAUCAGGCCAUGAUGAUCAUCCAAACCCUGCUGUCGUCUGGAGUUUACCAGAUCACUCAUGCAGACAGUCUGCAGAAAUUGGGAUCACUGAUCAUUGGAGUUCAAUCAUCAAUCAUCAGAGUAAUCUCAGGAGAAAUCUUCCUUGAGGCAGUGAAAUCCGAACUGUUCGUGACCAACAUCAUCAGCGCGCCUGUGAUCGUCCAGCAGACCAUCGUCAGCCAGGUGACCCUCGCUCACAUUCACACGGCUCCGGUUCGGCUCAGCACGUCUCGUGACGUCUCUCUCUGUCUCUCUUUAGAUCAUCGCUGUCAACAGCUCGUCCGACGCCAUCAUCACAAACGUUCCUGACGCCAUGGCGACGGAAAUCCCGCGUGUCUUCCUGCUGGAUGUGUCGCAGUCAUCCUCGGCUGUGCAGACGGUCAACCGGAAGAAAUGGAAACACGAGCAGGUGUGUCAUACUGUAUAUUUAUAUGUACUGUAUACAUACAGUUUACAAAAGCUUAAUAAUAUGUAUAUUGAGGUGUAUGUACCCCACAUUAAAGUACUGAAAUAUAUAUUUAUUGCACAUAAAGUCAUUAAGGUCAUGUUGCAUGCGAUAGCAAGUGUGUUGUAGUGCAUAUGGUGAAUAAUAAUAAUGACAUGGUUGACUUUCUCUUGCUCUCAGGCCGUUUUGAUCUUUGAAACCGUCGCCGCUCUGUUCAGCAACCCAGAUGAGUGAGUGGAGAGAGUUAUCAGUCAGAUUAGAUGAGGUGUUUUACUUUUGGCCAUGUUAACCUCUGUGUGUGUGUGUGUGUGUGUGUGUGUGUAGCGUGUCCUUCCAGGUGCUGCAGGGCUUCACCUGUUCACGGAUCCAGAGCUUCAGCACUAGUAAAGUCCUGAGUCUGAUCCGCGGCUGCAGACGGCGAGUCAAUCAGACACUCGUCCUGCAGGAGUCACAGGUGAACAAGCACAUCAGUCACACGCUUUUGAUGCUUAAUUUAGAAACCAAUCAUUGUCAUUUACAUUAAGAGGAUCCUUGAUGUUCUGCUGAACCUCAUGAAACAUUUAUAAAAGCAUAGAUCUUCCAUAAAUCUGCUCUGGUCCAUAUCAAACCCUUCAGCCUUAUCAUUUACACAAGAAAAUAAACAACGUUUAACUUUCA
ensembl:lncRNA